CAGCAGCCGCGGUAAUACGGAGGGAGCUAGCGUUGUUCGGAAUUACUGGGCGUAAAGCGCGCGUAGGCGGUUACUCAAGCCAGAGGUGAAAGCCCGGGGCUCAACCCCGGAACUGCCUUUGAAACUAGGUGACUAGAAUCUUGGAGAGGUCAGUGGAAUUCCGAGUGUAGAGGUGAAAUUCGUAGAUAUUCGGAAGAACACCAGUGGCGAAGGCGACUGACUGGACAAGUAUUGACGCUGAGGUGCGAAAGCGUGGGGAGCAAACAGGAUUAGAUACCCCUGUAGUCCCUGUCUCUUAUAC
rnacentral:rRNA from 1 species